rnacentral:tmRNA from 1 species
CAUGGUUUCGACGUGGGUUGCAAAACCUGAGGGGCGUGCCGAGGUGCAGAUUACCUCGUAAAGCUUAUCUGCAAAAAAUAUAGUUGCCAACGACGACAACUACGCCCUAGCUGCUUAAACCGGCUAGCCGCUGCCUGGAGCCGUGCUUGUGCGUUCAGUACAGGGGUCAACCUUCACAAGAUCGUAGAGCCAUUUGUUUGGGGUGGUUUUGCUAGACAUAACCAAACUCACUGUUAGAUUGUCCUGCCUGUCGGAUGACUAGCAGCUAGAAUAAAGAUAGGGCUAUGCACGUAGAACCAAGGGCGGAGGACUUACGGACGCGGGUUCGAUCA